CCUACGGGAGGCAGCAGUGAGGAAUAUUGGUCAAUGGGCGUAAGCCUGAACCAGCCAAGUCGCGUGAGGGAUGAAGGUUCUAUGGAUCGUAAACCUCUUUUAUAAGGGAAUAAAGUGUGGGGUGUGUCCUGUUUUGUAUGUACCUUAUGAAUAAGGAUCGGCUAACUCCGUGCCAGCAGCCGCGGUACUACGGAGGAUCCGAGCGUUAUCCGGAUUUAUUGGGUUUAAAGGGUGCGUAGGCGGCCUUUUAAGUCAGCGGUGAAAGUCUGUGGCUCAACCAUAGAAUUGCCGUUGAAACUGGGAGGCUUGAGUAUGUUUGAGGCAGGCGGAAUGCGUGGGGUAGCGGUGAAAUGCUUAGAUAUCACGCAGAACCCCGAUUGCGAAGGCAGCCUGCCAAGCCAUGACUGACGCUGAUGCACGAAAGCGUGGGGAUCAAACAGGAUUAGAUACCCCAGUAGUC
rnacentral:rRNA from 1 species